UACGAGUGCCCCGAGCGUUAUCCGGAAUCAUUGGGCGUAAAGGGUGUGUAGGUGGUUUUAUUAGUCUUCUGUUAAAAUUUCGAGCUUAACUCGAAACUCGCAGGGGAAACGGUAAGACUCGAGGGUGCGAGAGGUGAAUGGAACUCAUGGAGUAGGGGUGAAAUCCGUUGAUAUCAUGGGGAACACCAAAUGCGAAGGCAAUUCACUGGCGCAUUUCUGACACUGAAACACGAAAGCGUGGGUAGCGAACGGG
rnacentral:misc_RNA from 1 species